rnacentral:rRNA from 1 species
CCAAUAGCGUAUAUUAAAGUUGCUGCAGUUAAAAAGCUCGUAGUUGAAUUUCGGGACCAAUAUGUUGGUCGUGCUUUUGUACGUACUGAUAUAAUUGGUUUCUCCCUUCUGAAGAACCUUGAUGUCAUUAAUUUGGUGUCUUGGGGAAUCAGGACUGUUACUUUGAAAAAAUUAGAGUGUUUAAAGCAGGCUCGCGCUUGAAUACAUCAGCAUGGAAUAAUGAAAUAGGACGUUUGAUUCUAUUUUGUUGGUUUCUAGGAUAGACGUAAUGAUUAAUAGGGAUAGAUGGGGGCAUUAGUAUUAAAUUGUCAGAGGUGAAAUUCUUGGAUUUAUUGAAGACUAACUACUGCGAAAGCAUUUGCCAAGGAUGUUUUCAUUAAUCAAGAACGAAAGUUAGGCGAUCGAAGACGAUCAGAUACCGUCGUAGUCUUAACCAUAAACUAUGCCGACUAGGGAUCGGAUGAUGUUAAUUUUUUAAUGACUCAUUCGGCGCCUUACG